rnacentral:misc_RNA from 1 species
GCAAGGGGAACAACUCAACUCGGGGUAUUGUGAUAUAAAAUAAUUUAUUUAAAUUCUAUAGCCUAACUAUAAUUGAUUUCUCCAUAUGGGAGCAAUGAAUUGAAUAAAUUAUAGAAUUUAAUCAUCUUUAUUUUCAUCUGGUCUGUAGAGUUGCACUGGACGUCCAUUUGUUGGCUGUGUUGGUCUUGCAUUUGUGUCGGAGUCAUCAUGAACCGCUACGCGAAGCAAUCUCACUUGUUCUUUGGUAACAGUCCUCACCUUUCUGACAAUGGUCCAGAGGACAUUUUCAGUGCAAGGAGGAGUUGUAAGAGAUCCCAUGUAUCUAUAAUACUUUCUACUACCUAUCUUGAUGUCUUUUGGGUUAACGACCCCCACCACUGUCUCUGUUUCUCCGUUGCCAG